rnacentral:siRNA from 1 species
UAUGGAAGGUAGCCUGCUCGA